rnacentral:misc_RNA from 1 species
UCCGGUUUGUCACCGGCAGUCUCCUUAGAGUGCCCACCAUGACGUGCUGGUAACUAAGGACAAGGGUUGCGCUCGUUACGGGACUUAACCCAACAUCUCACGACACGAGCUGACGACAACCAUGCACCACCUGUGCACGGCCCUUACGGACCCACCAUCUCUGGAGGAUUUCCGUGCAUGUCAAGCCUAGGUAAGGUUCUUCGCGUUGCAUCGAAUUAAGCAACAUGCUCCACCGCUUGUGCGGGCCCCCGUCAAUUCCUUUGAGUUUCAGCCUUGCGGCCGUACUCCCCAGGCGGGGCACUUAGAGCGUUAGCUGCGACACCGCGGGGGUCAAUACCCACAGCAUCUAGCACUCAUCGUUUACGGCGUGGACUAC